AACUAACGCUGGCGGCGCGUAUUAAGCAUGCAAGUCGAAACGGUGAAAGUUUCUUCGGAGGCUUUGAGAGUGGCGAACGGGUGAGUAACACGUAGGUGAUCUACCUCUGGACGGGGGAUAGUCCAUGGAAACAUGGGGUAAUACCGCAUGAGGUCCAGGUGCCUUCGGGCACAUCGGAUAAAAGGAGCAAUUGUUCCGCCUGGGGAUGAGCCUGCGGUCCAUUAGCUAGUUGGUGUGGUAAGAGCGCACCAAGGCGACGAUGGGUAGCCGGCCUGAGAGGGUGAACGGUCACACUGGGACUGAGACACGGCCCAGACUCCUACGGGAGGCAGCAGCUAAGAAUCUUCCGCAAUGGGGGAAACCCUGACGGAGCGACGCCGCGUGGGCGAAGAAGGCCGCAAGGUUGUAAAGCCCUUUUCUUGACGAAGAAUAAACGUGGGAGUGGAAUGCCCGCGUGAUGACGUUAGUCGAGGAACAAGCCCCGGCCAAUUACGUG
rnacentral:rRNA from 1 species